UGAGUGGAUGGGGAGAACCUAGUUGUGCGUGUGUAAAGGUAGUGCCAAGAAAAGCGAUGAUCAUGUUGAAAAUCAAUUCCCGGUACCCGAAACCGACACAGGUGGGCAAGUAGAGAAUACUAAGGGGCGCGAGGUAACUCUCUCCAAGGAACUCGGCAAAAUGACCCCGUAACUUAGGGAGAAGGGGUGCCACCGAGAGGUGGUCGCAGUGAAGAGGCCCAGGCGACCGUUUAGCAAAAACAUAGGUCUCUGCAAACUCGAAAGAGGAGGUAUAGGGGCUGACGCCUGCCCAGUGCCGGAAGGUUAAAGAAGUUGGUCAGUUUUAGGAUGAAGCUAGCGACUGAAGCCCCGGUGAACGGCGGCCGUAACUAUAACGGUCCUAAGGUAGCGAAAUUCCUUGUCGGGUAAGUUCCGACCCGCACGAAAGGCGUAACGAUCUGGGCGCUGUCUCGGAGAGAGGCUCGGCGAAAUAGGAUUGUCUGUGAAGAUACGGACUACCUGCAUUUGGACAGAAAGACCCUAUGAAGCUUUACUAUAGCUUGGAAUUGUGUUCGGGCUUCCUGUGCGCAGGAUAGGUGGGAGGCGUAGAAGGUAUUCUUGUGGGGAUACUGGAGCCAACGGUGAGAUACCACUCUCAGGAGGCUAGAAUUCUAACUUAAUUAAGGACAGUUUCAGGUGGGUAGUUUGACUGGGGCGGUCGCCUCCAAAAAGGUAACGGAGGCGUACAAAGGUUCCCUCAGACUGGUUGGAAAUCAGUCGAAGAGUGCAAAGGCAGAAGGGAGCUUGACUGCGAGAAGUACAGUUCGAGCAGGGUGGAAACACGGUCUUAGUGAUCCGACGGUGCUGUGUGGAAGGGCCGUCGCUCAACGGAUAAAAGUUACUCUAGGAUAGCAGGCUGAUCUCCCCCAAGAGUUCACAUCGACGGGGAGGUUUGGCACCUCGAUGUCGGCUCAUCGCAACCUGGGGCGGAAGUACGUCCCAAGGGUUGGGCUGUUCGCCCAUUAAAGCGGUACGUGAGCUGGGUUCAGAACGUCGUGAGACAGUUCGGUCCAUAUCCGAUGUAGGCGUGAGAAUAUUGAGAGGAGCCUUCCUUAGUACGAGAGGACCGGGAAGGACGCACCGCUGGUGUACCUGUUAUGAUGCCAAUUGUAAACGCAGGGUAGCCAAGUGCGGAGAGGAUAACCGCUGAAAGCAUCUAAGUGGGAAGCCCACCUCAAGAUGAGUAUUCUGGUGUAAGGUCACGGGAAGACGACCCGUAAAUAGGCACGAGGUGGAAGUGCAGAGAUGUAUGAAGCCGAAGUGUACUAAUAGACCGUCGGCUUGACC
rnacentral:rRNA from 1 species